rnacentral:rRNA from 1 species
UGGGGAAUAUUGGACAAUGGGGGCAANCCUGAUCCAGCAAUGCCGCGUGUGUGAAGAAGGUCUUCGGAUUGUAAAGCACUUUCGACGGGGACGAUGAUGACGGUACCCGUAGAAGAAGCNCCGGCUAACUUCGUGCCAGCAGCCGCGGUAAUACGAAGGGGGCUAGCGUUGCUCGGAAUGACUGGGCGUAAAGGGCGUGUAGGCGGUUUACACAGUCAGAUGUGAAA